UAAGCCCUGUCGUCUCCGAAGCCUUACGUUCCAAUGUAGGGUAUUGAUGUAGAAGCGACGGGGCUUU
rnacentral:sRNA from 12 species